GGGAUCCGAUUCCUACGGGAGGCAGCAGUGGGGAAUAUUGGACAAUGGGCGAAAGCCUGAUCCAGCCAUGCCGCGUGUGUGAAGAAGGUCUUCGGAUUGUAAAGCACUUUAAGUUGGGAGGAAGGGCAGUAAAUUAAUACUUUGCUGUUUUGACGUUACCGACAGAAUAAGCACCGGCUAACUCUGUGCCAGCAGCCGCGGUAAUACAGAGGGUGCAAGCGUUAAUCGGAAUUACUGGGCGUAAAGCGCGCGUAGGUGGUUCGUUAAGUUGGAUGUGAAAUCCCCGGGCUCAACCUGGGAACUGCAUUCAAAACUGUCGAGCUAGAGUAUGGUAGAGGGUGGUGGAAUUUCCUGUGUAGCGGUGAAAUGCGUAGAUAUAGGAAGGAGCACCAGUGGCGAAGGCGACCACCUGGACUGAUACUGACACUGAGGUGCGAAAGCGUGGGGAGCAAACAGGAUUGGAUACCCUGGUAGUCCACGCCGUAAACGAUGUCAACUAGCCGUUGGGAGCCUUGAGCUCUUAGUGGCGCAGCUAACGCAUUAAGUUGACCGCCUGGGGAGUACGGCCGCAAGGUUAAAACUUAAAUGAAUUGACGGGGCCCGCACAAGCGGUGGAGCAUGUGGUUAAUUCGAAGCAACGCGAAGAACCUUACCAGGCCUUGACAUCCAAUGAACUUCCAGAGAUGGAUUGGUGCCUUCGGGAACAUUGAGACAGGUGCUGCAUGGCUGUCGCCAGCUCGUGUCGUGAGAUGUUGGGUUAAGUCCCGUAACGAGCGCAACCCUUGUCCUUAGUUACCAGCACGUAAUGGUGGGCACUCUAAGGAGACUGCCGGUGACAAACCGGAGGAAGGUGGGGAUGACGUCAAGUCAUCGUGGCCCUUACGGCCUGGGCUACACACGUGCUACAAUGGUCGGUACAGAGGGUUGCCAAGCCGCGAGGUGGAGCUAAUCCCAGAAAACCGAUCGUAGUCCGGAUCGCAGUCUGCAACCCGACUGCGUGAAGUCGGAAUCGCUAGUAAUCGCGAAUCAGAAUGUCGCGGUGAAUACGUUCCCGGGCCUUGUACACACCGCC
rnacentral:rRNA from 1 species